rnacentral:rRNA from 1 species
UAAGUAAUCUACCUUUGAGUGGGGAAUAACAUCGGGAAACCGAUGCUAAUACCGCAUAAUGCAGCGGCAUCGCAAGAUGACAGUUGUUAAAGAAUUUAUUCGCUUAAAGAGGAGCUUGCGGCAGAUUAGCUAGUUGGUAAGGUAAUGGCUUACCAAGGCUACGAUCUGUAACCGGUCUAAGAGGACGGUCGGUCACACUGACACUGAAUAACGGGUCAG